rnacentral:rRNA from 1 species
CCUACGGGAGUCUGCAGUGGGGGAUAUUGCACAAUGGGGGGAACCCUGAUGCAGCGACGCCGCGUGGGUGAAGGAGCGUUUCGGCGCGUAAAGCCCUAUCGUCAGGGAAGAAGAUGACGGUAUCUAACCAAGAAGCACCGGCUAACUCCGUGCCAGCAGCCGCGGUAAUACGGAGGGGGCAAGCGUUAUCCGGAUUUACUGGGCGUAAAGGGGGCGCAGACGGGAAUGCAAGCCAGGUGUGAAAGCCCGGGGCCGAACCACGGGACUGCUUUUGAAACUGUAUGGCUGGAGUACAGGAGAGGUAGGUGGAAUUCUUGGUGUAGGGGUAAAAUACGUAGAGAUUAGGAGGAACACCGGUGGCGAAGGCGACCUGCUAGAAUAUAACUGACGUUGAGGCGCGAAGGCGUGGGGAGCAAACAGGAUUAGAUACCCCAGUAGUC